UACCAUUAAUUUUAAUGAAAAAAGUAGAACACCAACGGAAUUGGCAACCUUAAUUUGAACGUAGGAUUUACAUAUUGGUUGUAAAGGCUCUGAAAACAAUCUAAUGAUUUGGUAUAUAAACGCAGAGGCAAAAAUGCCCAAAAACGCAGUAACCAAAAUCCUCUCGACUCAUAAGAAGCUGAAAAACCCACCUGCACUCCUCCCCCGAUGCCAAUGUGACAGAGCAAGCACGAACGAGAAGGAGAAGACAACCCACAAUUCUUCUCCUUCUUCUCUCUUCUAAUUCUCUCUUUUCUUCUUCUUCUAAAUUAAAAAGUAAGAGAGAGAAGGGAAGAUUGGUCCGUCCUUGUUAAAAGAAGAAAAUUAGGCAAGAUUUCUCCAACUCAGAUGCUUCAGCAUUUCCAUUUCGAACCUCUAUUCACAGGCAGGUCCACUCAGAGGUCCAAUUCCGGGUCACCGAUGAAUUGGAUCUGGUUCCUGAUGACUUCUUCUGCUCUUAUAUGGACUUUGACAAACUUGGAUCUUGUCUGAAACAGGACAAUGCGGGUCAUGAGCCAGCUGCUGCUGCUGGCAAUGGGGUUCAAUGUGUGGAUGAGAAAGCAACAAAUGUGAAGUUGAGGCAUAAGUAUAGCAAUUCAGUUGAUGGGUCUUCUUUAACGGAAUCUAUUGACUCAAAAAAAGGCUGUGGCACCUGAAAAACUCGCUGAGUUGUGGGCUCUUGAUCCUAACGAGCCAAAAGGUCCUCGGGAAGCCUACAGUGGAUGAGUUUUUCUGAUUGAUAUCUUAAUAUCCAGUUCCUUUCCUCUCGUAUAAUCCCAUCUUUUUACUUAGCCAAUGAAGCUUGCCAAAUUUGUUCUGUCAUUUUUCACCUGGCGUCUCUAAGGUUAAGCAUGUUUUUAAGUUAUUUGUUUCUGUUGCAUCAAUGCUAUGCGAUGAAAAAUCAAUGCCAUACAUUUAAAUGAAGACCAAAUACAUCUCUUCCAAAAGUUUGAAUAAGAACUCCAGGUAUGAAUUGGCUUUUAAUGCUUUACUACCUUAAUAUCUCAGGGUUUUUUUUUUUUUUAACAUUUCUUAGGUUACUUCUUUUUCUGAAUAUGAACCCUUUGACUUUACAACAAUGAGCUAGGAAACUAUCGAAAGCUUUUCAUGGUAUUUUAUUUUUAUUAAUUUAUCUCAAAUUAUCUAUUUUUUGAAGUAUAUUAUGUAGCCUGUCCAUGAUACUCUAAAGAGUGAUUCUUUAUUAAUCAUGGAAUUGCUUUUGAUUGAUCUGAUUUACAUGCAGAUGAAUAAAAAAGUAUAAAUUCUAUAAAUUUCCUCUGAAACUAUCUAGGAUUAUGGCCAAUAGGCAGUCUCCUGCUCGUUUGAAAGAGAGCCCGAUAUCGUAUGUAUCCGAACUCGAAAGAAAAGUGCAUACCAACUUACACUAUUCCAUAGGGAUACAUCAAGUCUGACUACUGAGAACUCAGAGCUUAAGCUUCGAUUACAAGCUAUGGAACAACAGGCUGAAUUACAUGACGCUCUGAAUGAAGCAUUGAAGAAGGAAAUAGAGACUCAAGUUUGCUACUGGAGAAAUUAUGGCACCAACAGAUAGCUAUAAUUUGGGGAUGCAUCAUAUUCCAUAUAACCAUUCUCUCAUGCUUUCACCUAAGCCAUAUCAACGGUCAGUUCAUGGUUGAGGAGGUAUUUGAGAGUGGGGUAAUAAUUUUUUUUUAAUGUAUUUUUUAUUUAUAAAGUUAUCAGAAUAUAUAUUUUUUAAUAAAUUAUUUUUUAUAUUAUCAUACUACAACGAUAAAAAAAAAUAUAAAAUAUUAAUUUUUUUUUAAAAAAUCAAUUUUUAUGAAACGUUAUUUCACCCUUAAACAUUCAAACCCCACAGUUUCAUCAUCUCCGGUCUAACUUGUCACCUCAUCAGCCAGAGAUUGCUGCUUCCCCUUCUCAUGCCUUGCCAGAGAUGUUGCUACAGGAUCCUCUCACAUAGUUGCAGGGGCUUGAUAUCAGCAGCAGAGCUAGAUCUGAAUGCCCCCCAAUUUCCGCCAGUGAAGAACUUCAUUACAGAAUCUCUUGAGGAUUUAUCUAUGUUCAAUUUCAUAUAUACACUACUGGUCAUCGCGAUUCGUGCUCAAUUCAAAUCCAAAUACUGUUUCUAAACCUUCGUACUUUAAUAUUCAAUUCAUAUCCAUACUCCUAAACACACUUCAGGCUUUCAUGCUUCCAGAGCGUUUGUUGUUUUGGAUGAUGCCAAACCCCAGUUUACAAAUUAUCUGUUCUACCCCACUUCAAGUCAAUAUCCUUGGUUUCUCCAUUACAGGUGUCCUCCUCAUUCCAUUUGCUUGCAGCUUGUAUAUUUGGCAGACUUACUAGUAGAAGAGGGAGGGGAGAGCUGUGAUUUGGAAAAAGAAAACACAGACAAGCAAUGGCUGUGUUGUUGAUUGGUUGGCUACCCAUGCUCAUUCCUUAUAUAUGGGAGGUUAUGGAAGCUCCUGUGGGUUAUCUUAGUUUGAUUUUUGAAUGAUAUUAGUGGGGUUAGUAGUUAGUACCCCUACGAUGAUUCCUUUGUAAUAAUUCCUUAGGGCAUUGCCCUCCCUUUGACCCAAAGAAGAAGAAGAAGAAGAAGAAGAAAUAAAUGGCGGAGGGUAUGCCUAAGCUGUAUGAGUUACAAUCACAGGCCUUAAGGUUAGGUUUUGUUUAGACCUUUAGUUUUGGGUUCCCUUGGGUGGGUUGAGUAAGAAAAUGAUGAGCCUGGUGUGAAAAAUCCUCUCCUCAGGCUCGACCUAUAGCUCUCUCGGAAGUCUAUUGAGCAAUCCAUCCCAUUAUCAGGUUUAGAAGCAACCCUAAAGGACGAGUGAAGUUAUAUUAUUUUGUAAUGCGAUUGAUGGUAUUUUUGUUAAAAUAUUUUUUAAUUAAAUAUAUAUAUGAACUUUUUGAUAUUAUCA